GAGUUUGAUCCAUGGCUCAGAUUGAACGCUGGCGGCAGGCCUAACACAUGCAAGUCGAGCGGUAGAGAGAAGCUUGCUUCUCUUGAGAGCGGCGGACGGGUGAGUAAUGCCUAGGAAUCUGCCUGGUAGUGGGGGAUAACGUUCGGAAACGGACGCUAAUACCGCAUACGUCCUACGGGAGAAAGCAGGGGACCUUCGGGCCUUGCGCUAUCAGAUGAGCCUAGGUCGGAUUAGCUAGUUGGUGGGGUAAUGGCUCACCAAGGCGACGAUCCGUAACUGGUCUGAGAGGAUGAUCAGUCACACUGGAACUGAGACACGGUCCAGACUCCUACGGGAGGCAGCAGUGGGGAAUAUUGGACAAUGGGCGAAAGCCUGAUCCAGCCAUGCCGCGUGUGUGAAGAAGGUCUUCGGAUUGUAAAGCACUUUAAGUUGGGAGGAAGGGCCAUUACCUAAUACGUGAUGG
rnacentral:rRNA from 1 species